rnacentral:misc_RNA from 1 species
GAUGAAGAACGUAGCGAAAUGCGAUACGUAAUGUGAAUUGCAGAAUUCAGUGAAUCAUCGAAUCUUUGAACGCAUAUUGCGCUCUCUGGUAUUCCGGAGAGCAUGCUUGUUUGAGUACCAGUAAACACCUCAACUUCCAUAUCUUUUUUGAAAUGGGAGUUGGACUUGAGUGAUCCCAACGCUUUUCCUCACCGAAAAGUGGCGGGUUACUUGAAAUGCAGGUGCAGCUGGACUUUUCUCUGAGCUAUAAGCAUAUCUAUUUAGUCUGCCUAAAAAACAGAUUAUUACCUUUGCUGCAGCUAACAUAAAGGAGAUUAGUUCUUGUGCUGACUGAUGCAGGAUUCACAAAGACAGGCUUCGGCCGACUUUGUAAACUCGAUCUCAAAUCAAGUAAGACUACCCGCUGAACUUAAGCAUAUCAAUAAGCGGAGGA